UGAAACCAGGAAGGGGAAGAGUCAGCUCUCCCACUCUCGUGCCAUCAGGGUCACCUCUAUUGCGCUGCGGCAGACAAGGGGUUAGACCAGCUCUCCUGCUCUCAUGACCCCCAAGGCCAGUCCUCCCGCCUACCAUAGGUAGUAAAGGGUACUGGGAAGGGAGGAGGGCAUCUCUCCCUUGCCCAUGUUACCACAAGGCAGACGUGUCAGGGCCAGGUCCUCCAUGUUCAUGCACUCAGACUCACCGAUGCCCCCUGACACCAGGAUUAGCUCUAUUGUGCUGCCCAGGUGAGGCGUAGAUCCCACCUGUUACAGCAGGUGAGGGACACGGCCAGAUCUCCUGCUCGCGCGACCUUGAAGCCAGCUCUCCUGUUAAUGAUAUUUGGGAAGGGGCAAAAGGGCCCUACUGUAAUGGGGCAACUGGGCUCCUGGGAAGGUGUAUUGUCCUAGCUGUUCAGGCUGCUUCAAAGAUUGUCGUAAUGGAAAGCUGAUUGGCAUGCUAUCACUGAACAGCACCUGUAACCUCGAUCUCCAGUGAGGCUCUGAGAACCUCGAAGGCAAGGGUGUGUGUGUUUCAUACAUCCUAGAGAACCCAAGAAAUUCCUGUGGAUUUUCAAAGCCCUUUGAGACCUGUAACCUGUAUUAAAUACAUGCUGCCGUGAUAAUGGUUUCACAAUCAGUGUCAACGCCAGCCAAGAACAAACACCCGUUGGUAAGCAGGCACAGUUAUGAGCAUCAUCUCCCACUGGAAAGAAGGACAAUGACACCUGAAAUAUCCCAGAUGACCCGUAGUGACCCUUGCAUACACUGUUUCUAAGUGAAGAAGAACCACUCUGAGGUGCAGGCAACGUACCU